rnacentral:rRNA from 1 species
UGGGGAAUAUUGCACAAUGGGCGGAAGCCUGAUGCAGCAACGCCGCGUGAGGGAUGACGGCCUUCGGGUUGUAAACCUCUUUUAGCAGGGAAGAAGCGAGAGUGACGGUACCUGCAGAAAAAGCGCCGGCUAACUACGUGCCAGCAGCCGCGGUAAUACGUAGGGCGCAAGCGUUAUCCGGAAUUAUUGGGCGUAAAGAGCUCGUAGGCGGUUUGUCGCGUCUGCUGUGAAAUCCCGAGGCUCAACCUCGGGCCUGCAGUGGGUACGGGCAGACUAGAGUGCGGUAGGGGAGAUUGGAAUUCCUGGUGUAGCGGUGGAAUGCGCAGAUAUCAGGAGGAACACCGAUGGCGAAGGCAGAUCUCUGGGCCGUAACUGACGCUGAGGAGCGAAAGGGUGGGGAGCAAACAGGCUUAGAUACCCUGGUAGUCCACCCGUAAACGUUGGGAACUAGUUGUGGGGUCCUUUCCACGGAUUCCGUGACGCAGCUAACGCAUUAAGUU